AUGAGCACCGCCGAGGGCCCCCGAGGGUUGAUGGUGACGCCGUGGCCAUUAGGCCCUUGGGUGUUGCCUGCCGCGCCUGUCGAGGUGCCGAUGUGGUCGCCCGGCGGCUGCAGCGUAGAGGUGCGCGGUUGCUGGUCUUCCAGCGCCAUCAGUGGUGGCUGUGGCGCCGCCUGUAUGGCAGCCACUGUGUCGCUGAGAUCCGCGACGCGGCGCUCGAGAUCCAGGCGCCAGCUUAGCAGAUCGUCGAUCUUCGUCGCUGUGGUUUGUUGCGCCUUGGUGAGGCCAUCGAUGGGUGGCCUCGACCUUGGUCUCGAAGCGGGUGAGGAAGGCAGAGAUGCUGGGAUCCAUGGCUUCACGAGCUUGGCGGAGACCGCGCGUCACGAUGAGAUGCGCCAGGGCAGAGCAAAAAGGGGUGGUGGUUGGUGUCUCUAA
rnacentral:rRNA from 1 species